AGAGUGAACGCUGGCGGUAGGCCUAACACAGGCAAGUCGAACGGCAGCACAGGAGAGCUUGCUCUCUGGGUGGCGAGUGGCGGACGGGUGAGGAAUACAUCGGAAUCUACCUUUUCGUGGGGGAUAACGUAGGGAAACUUACGCUAAUACCGCAUAAGACCUUCGGGUGAAAGCCGGGGACCUUCGGGCCUGGCGCGGAUAGAUGAGCCGAUGUCGGAUUAGCUUGUUGGCGGGUAAAGCCCA
rnacentral:rRNA from 1 species